AAAGUCCUAGCUUAAUUAAAGUAUCUGGGUUGCAUUCAGAAGAUGCAGGGUAACAUCCUGCGGAUUUUA
rnacentral:tRNA from 2 species